GCCCGGGUGGCUCAGUCGGUUGAGCGUCCGACUUCAGCUCAGGUCAUGAUCUCACGGUUCGUGAGUUCGAGCCCCGCGUCGGGCU
rnacentral:tRNA from 1 species